ACGCGCGGGGAAUCAACUUGUUCCAUAUACAGCCACGGGCGCCCGUGUCCGUGCUCCGCUCCGCCCCCUGCCGUCCGCUACCGCGCCGCCUAACGGAGUUGAUCUCCGCCGGCCUCCGCUCCCGCUCCCUGCUCCGCCCCGCCCAGCCUCACCCUUCUCCCGCACUGCCGCCUGCCCCGCCGCACUGGAGGAGGUUACCGUCGAGAGCAGCUGUUGCACAGGACCGGCGAUUGGAGGCGCGCCGUGACAGGAGCUCAGGUGUAAAGAUGUCUCGAAGUGAUUAUUUGUCUAUUCGAUUUCACUUUGGUGGGGAAUUUGUCAACGAUGGGAAAACAAUGCAAUAUGUGGGUGGGGGAAGAGGCUAUGUCUAUAUUCUCCGCAGCAAAUUGGGAUUGGCGGAGAUUAAUCGUCAUUUGAAGCUACACCACGACAUUGUAGAUGGACAGUUGUUGCACUGGUUGAUGCCCGGGAAUUUGUCAAGUGGCCUUGGUGUUUUGUGGCAAGAUGAGUCAUGCAAGGUAAUGUCAGGGCAUAUUGCACAUGAUGGUUUUGGAGACAAUGUUGAAGAAUCAACUGAGCAACUGCAGACGAUUGAGCGGAUAUAUAUAAAUGAUGAUGGAUAUGAGGUAGAAGGUAUGCUGUGCCAAAUUUCGUGCGUGGAAUGAAAUUUAGUGGUAAGCAGGAGUUCAAACGAGCCAUAAUUGAUUAUGGCCUGCAUGAAAAGAAAGAAAUCAAGUUUGUGGAAGACGAGGGUGACAGAGUUAGAGCACAGUGUAGUUGGCCUAUGUGUCCAUGGUUUUGCUUGUUGAAGAAAACAUGCAGAUUUGCGAGCUGGCAGGUAACUUCUUUUAAUAAUGCGCACACAUGUCCGCAAAGGAGAGAUAUUAAGUUAGUGACAGCGACUAGAAUUGUAAACAGGUUCCAGAAUUUGACAGUUGGAAAUCCAGAAUGGAGUAUGCACCACCUGCAGCAGACGGUGCAAGAGGAGAUGUUCACAAAUAUGCACAUAUCAAAGAUCAAGAGAGCUAAGGCUGUAGUUGUCGCUAGGAUGAUGGAUGCCAGGUUAGGUGAAUACGGCAAAGUGUUGAUUACCAACUCGAGUUACUUAGAAGCAACCCUAGGAGCAGAAUAAUAGUGAAGAUUCACCCAGACUUUGAUGUGUCAGCCUUUUACAGAUUUUAUGUCUGUUUUGACACCUGUAGGAAAGGUUUUUUGAUCGGAUGUAGGAAGGUAAUUGGUCUUGAUGGCUGCUUUUUCAAAGGAAGACCAGGAGAGCUUUUGUGUGCUGUUGGCAGCAGUUGACAAAGAAACCAAUGAAUCUUGGGAUUGGUUUUGUGGCAUUUUGUUCAAUGACCUGAAGGUUGGAGAUGGUGAAGGAUGGGUAAUAAUAUCUGAUCAGCAGAAGGAAAUUCUUAAUGCUGUGCAAAAUUGGAUUCCAAGGGCGGAGCAUAGAAAUUGUGCUAGGACACAUACUCCCUCCGUCCUAUAUUAAGUGACUCAAAUUGCCCAAACAUGGAUGUAUCUAUGCCUAAAAAGCGUCUAGAUACAUGUAAUAGAAAGUCACUUAAUAUGGGACGGAGGGAGUAUAUGCCAAUUGGAGAAAGAAGUUCAGGGACAAGAGUUGGCAGAAACUUUUUUUAGCAAUCAUGGCCAAAGAACACCGGAGCAGGGCCUGGUUUAAGUUAGGAUCUAAUAAUAUAUGCGAGUCAUUCAAUAAGUGGAUAGUGCAAGAUAGAUACCUGCCCAUAAUCAGCAUGCUAGAAGAAAUUAGACGUAAGGUCAUGGUUAGGAUACAAGAGAUCAGAACUCAAUUAGAUAUGUGGACUGGAAAUGUGUGUCCUAACAGUAUGAAAAAAAUGAAGAAGAGCAUAAACCAGUCGGCUUAUUGCUAUGCAAUCUGGAAUGGGAAUGAUUCAUAUGAAGUUAAGAGUAGGGAGCACAAGUUGAAGGUUAACCUUGAAGAAAAAACAUGUAGUUGCAGGCAUUGGCCAAUUUCUGGACUUCCUUGUUCACAUGCAAUAGCUUGCAUAUACUACCAUACAAACAACCUAUAUGAUUACAUCGCCAAAUGCUACCAUGCCGAGGAGUUUCGAAAAAACUAUGAGCAUUGCGUUGAGCCUGUAGAGGGCAUGCCUGCAUGGCCAAUUUCUAACAGACCUCGACCAAGUGCACCUGGGCAUAUUUCACUUCCUGGUAGGCUGGUAAAAAUAAAAAAAAUCAAGGACAAGGGAACCACAUGAAAAGCUGGGAAGCUGCAGAGUUAGUACAGCUGGUACAACCAUUAGGCGCGGGAUAUGCAAACAGGAAGGCCACAACAGAACUUCUGUGUGAAGAGAAAUGGAGGCUCAGCUCCUGCCGAAGCAUCUCAGACUUCUCAGCAUGGGCAACCAGCUGCACCAUCAAGCUAGCAACCAGCUGCUGCACCAUCAGCAAGUUGUCGAAAGAAGGCGGCAACUACAUGUGUGCGAGCAUCAAAACAACCACCACCUGCUGCACCAUCCAUGCCUUCCCAGCAAAGCACAGCAGGUAGUACAAAAGGAAGUCAAGCAUACAACCAGAACAAUUCAACCCUUCCAAGAAGCCAACUAAGAGAGAUACCAAUUGCAAGACCACUGCAAAUAAUGUGUAUGUGAAUGGAACAGGGCAAGGUCGUCAAGCAAGAUCAAAUAUCACUAUCAAUGUGUCAUCCAGAAAUGAUGCCGCUCACACAAGAAACCAAGCUAACAAGUAGAAACCUAGACAGAAGUACAAUAGGCUUGGCAAGCUUCUGGGGCUCUAGAUGAUCAUAAUUUUAGGUUGUGAACUGUGACUGUUGUGUGAAUUGUGAUGUGAUAGGCCAAACUUCUGGCUCUAGAUGAUGUGAUAUUACCUGACAUGCUUCGGCAGGAGCUUAGCCUCCAUUUCUUUUCACAUAGAAUACAUUCAGUCGAAUCUUACAA